GGAGGGUGCGAGCGUUGUCCGGAAUCAUUGGGCGUAAAGGGCGCGUAGGUGGCCCGGUCAGUCUUUGGUGAAAGCGCGGGGCUCAACCCUGCGUCGGCCAGGGAUACUGCCGCGGCUCGAGCACUGUAGAGGCAGGCGGAAUUCCGGGUGUAGCGGUGGAAUGCGUAGAGAUCCGGAAGAACACCGGUGGCGAAGGCGGCCUGCUGGGCAGUCUGGCUGACACUGAGGCGCGACAGCGUGGGGAGCAAACAGGAUUAGAUACCCUGGUAGUCCACGCCGUAAACGAUGGGCACUAGGCGCUUGGGGGAGCGACCCCCCGAGGGCCGGCGCUAACGCAUUAAGUGCCCCGCCUGGGGAGUACGGCCGCAAGGCUG
rnacentral:rRNA from 1 species